rnacentral:rRNA from 1 species
CCGCAUGGUGUCUGGGAAAGCCUUUGCGGCAUGGGAUGGGGUCGCGUCCUAUCAGCUUGAUGGCGGGGUAACGGCCCACCAUGGCUUCGACGGGUAGCCGGCCUGAGAGGGCGACCGGCCACAUUGGGACUGAGAUACGGCCCAGACUCCUACGGGAGGCAGCAGUGGGGAAUAUUGCACAAUGGGCGCAAGCCUGAUGCAGCGACGCCGCGUGAGGGAUGGAGGCCUUCGGGUUGUAAACCUCUUUUGUUAGGGAGCAAGGCAUUUUGUGUUGAGUGUACCUUUCGAAUAAGCACCGGCUAACUACGUGCCAGCAGCCGCGGUAAUACGUAGGGUGCAAGCGUUAUCCGGAAUUAUUGGGCGUAAAGGGCUCGUAGGCGGUUCGUCGCGUCCGGUGUGAAAGUCCAUCGCUUAACGGUGGAUCCGCGCCGGGUACGGGCGGGCUUGAGUGCGGUAGGGGAGACUGGAAUUCCCGGUGUAACGGUGGAAUGUGUAGAUAUCGGGAAGAACACCA